AGGAUAGAGAAACAGAAGGGGGAGACAUCAUGUUUUGAAACUAAAGAAGACGACUCUUUUUUCCCAGGUACUCUCCAAAAUUUCAAGUUUGGGUACAACGAUGCAACUGGUAAAUAGUAGAAUUUGAUGGCAGCUGGAAUCAUUGACCCUACUAAGGUAAAGAUAGCGUACUGGUGUUAGGAAAAUUUGAUGGCAGCUGGAAUCAUUGACCCUUCUAAAGUAAAGAUAGCGUACUGGUGUUUAGGGGGUUUAUCAUGCCUGGAUUUUGACAAGUUGAAACCAUAUACCAGUUGGAUUUUGAUCUAGCAUGUUCUGAUUCUCAUAUCUAAUUUUACUAUCAAGUUGUGAGAUGCCUGGCUAACAAAGGUAUUAUAAGUGGAUUUCGGAACCAACUUUCAUGACUUGAACAAAGGAGUCUGUGGGAAUCAGAUUCUGAUCGGUUCAUUCGAACACUUUGAACUUCCAAAAGUCCAAGAUCAUAUUAGAGAACUGAAAGAAAGAUUUGCUGGUAGAAAGAUUUAUGGGGUGAUAACACCAGUAAAGAGCUUUCUGCCCCGUUAAGGAACUCAUAUAUACGUAAUGUAAAUAAGUUGUUGGAUAUUUUGUGGAAGAUGCUGCUGAGGGUAAAACGUCGGAUGAUUUUACAAGGUAUACACAUUGGUGCAAUGUUGCAAUCUUAUGCAAAAGAAGGUUAGGGUGUGGUUAUGAAUUAUUGAUUUUAGGAAUGUUUUGCGGGGGUAUAUGUAUUUAUGCACUAGUGUAUUUUUCCAUAAAAAAAUAAAUUUGUGUGUGGUUAUGUAU